rnacentral:rRNA from 1 species
GUCCACGCUGUAAACGAUGAUCACUGGAUAUGGGCACUGCUUAGCAGAGUCUGUGUCGAAGCUAACGCGUUAAGUGAUCCGCCUGGGGAGUACGGUCGCAAGAUUAAAACUCAAAGAAAUUGACGGGGGUCCGCACAAGCGGUGGAACAUGUGGUUUAAUUCGACACUACGCGAGUAACCUUACCUAGGCUUUACAUGUAACUGCUACCGGCAGAAACGUUGGGUUCUGUAGAAAUACAGACGGUUACACAGGUGCUGCAUGGCUGUCGU